rnacentral:ncRNA from 1 species
ACAAAAACGAUGACAGAAGAGUAGUUACUUUAUCUGGUUCAGAGAGUCGACGGUGGUGUGAGUCGAUACAGUAAGUAAUGAAACACAUCUGUAAGUUAAAUAAUUGAAUCAAGUAGGUUAUUUCGGUGGCGCCGUUAUCGCUGAAGUUAUUGUAACUUCGUGAGCUUAGUAUCGCAAGGUAUUAAGAAGCCAGAGGUGGUACCGCGUUAAAUCGCCCUCUUA